rnacentral:rRNA from 1 species
AACGAACGCUGGCGGCAGGCCUAACACAUGCAAGUCGAGCGAGGACUUCGGUCCUAGCGGCGGACGGGUGAGUAGCGCGUGGGAAUAUGCCCAAAGGUACGGAAUAGCCUCGGGAAACUGGGAGUAAUACCGUAUGUGCCCUUCGGGGGAAAGAUUUAUCGCCUUUUGGAUUAGCCCGCGUUGGAUUAGGUAGUUGGUGGGGUAAUGGCCUACCCAAGCCGACGAUCCAUAGCUGGUUUGAGAGGAUGAUCAGCCACACUGGGACUGAGACACGGCCCAGACUCCUACGGGAGGCAGCAGUGGGGAAUCUUAGACAAUGGGGGAAACCCUGAUCUAGCCAUGCCGCGUGAGCGAUGAAGGCCUUCGGGUUGUAAACCUCUUUCAGCUCCGACGAAUUCAGACGGUAGGAGCAGAAGAAGCACCGGCCAACUACGUG